CAUAUCAAUAAGCGGAGGAAAAGAAACCAACAGGGAUUGCCUCAGUAACGGCGAGUGAAGCGGCAAGAGCUCAAAUUUGAAAUCUGGCGCCCCGCCGGCGUCCGAGUUGUAAUUUGGAGAGGCAUCUUCAGGAGGGGGCCCGGCCUAUGUUCCUUGGAACAGGGCGUCGCAGAGGGUGAGAAUCCCGUUCUUGGCCGGACAGCCCCUCCGGUGUGCAGUGUCUUCUACGAGUCGAGUUGUUUGGGAAUGCAGCUCAAAAUGGGUGGUAAAUUUCAUCUAAAGCUAAAUAUGGGCGAGAGACCGAUAGCGCACAAGUAGAGUGAUCGAAAGAUGAAAAGCACUUUGAAAAUAGAGUCAAACAGCACGUGAAAUUGUUGAAAGGGAAGCGCUUGAGACCAGACUCGGCCAUGGACUAACAGCUGUCCCUUCUGGGCGGUGCACUUGUCCUUGGCCGGGCCAGCAUCGGUUGGGACGGCGGGACAAAGGCUGGGGGAAUGUGACUCCCUUGAGAAGUGUUAUAGCCCCCGGCGCCAUGCCGCCCGCCCCGACCGAGGACCGCGCUCGGCUAGGAUGC
rnacentral:rRNA from 1 species